rnacentral:rRNA from 1 species
AUGGUAGGAUAGAGGCCUACCAUGGUGGUAACGGGUAACGGGGUGUUAGGGCACGACACCGGAGAGGGAGCCUGAGAAACGGCUACCACAUCCAAGGAAGGCAGCAGGCGCGCAAAUUACCCAAUCCCGACACGGGGAGGUAGUGACAAUAAAUAACAAUACAGGGUUCUUUUGGAUCUUGUAAUUGGAAUGAGUACAAUUUAAAUCUCUUAACGAGGAACAAUUGGAGGGCAAGUCUGGUGCCAGCAGCCGCGGUAAUUCCAGCUCCAAUAGCGUAUAUUAAAGUUGUUGCAGUUAAAAAGCUCGUAGUUGAAUUUCGGGAUCAAUAUUUCGGUCAUGCCGUUGGUAUGCACUGUUAUCAUUGAUUUCUCACCUUCUAAAGAACCGUAAUGCCAUUAAUUUGGUGUUACGGGGAAUUAGGACUGUUACCUUGAAAAAAUUAGAGUGUUUAAAGCAGGCUCACGCUUGAAUACAUUAGCAUGGAAUAAUGAAAUAGGACAUCCGAUUCUAUUUUGUUGGUUUCUAGGAUCGAUGUAAUGAUUAAUAGGGAUAGUUGGGGGCAUUAGUAUUCAAUUGUCAGAGGUGAAAUUCUUGGAUUUAUUGAAGACUAACUACUGCGAAAGCAUUUGCCAAGGAUGUUUUCAUUAAUCAAGAACGAAAGUUAGGGGAUCGAAGACGAUCAGAUACCGUCGUAGUCUUAACCAUAAACUAUGCCGACUAGGGAUCGGAUGAUGUUAAU